rnacentral:lncRNA from 1 species
AUUCUUUUUGGAGUUUUUGUGCACAACUACUUGCCAAUGCUCAAGCAGCAGCAGCAGUUAAUGCGAAUAACAAGGUUUUCUUAUAUUAUUUGUUGAAUCUCUUUCUUUGAUUAAUUGAUUUAAUUUAGUUUAUGUUAUCCAUUGGUAGGUUAGUAAUGAUGAUUGUUAUCUGAUUUUUGUAUUGUUUUGAAAUUGUAGAAACAAGCUUGUGCCAAUGAAGAUUGGAUCCUCUCCUUCACUAUCCUCUCCACUUUAGGGACUUGGUUUGGAGAACUUUGCUACUCUUCUUUCUUUAUUCAUAGCUUUUCUUAAAACUAUUUUCUUCAACCUUGUUAACCUUUCUGUCUUAAGUGGAGAUGUUCAAUUCUUUUCGUUUCAUUAUUUCUUUUAUCGAUCCCGAGAGCAUAUAUUUUAUUGAUUAGUUAUUUUCUCUUUGGUUCUGC